UACGUAGGGGGCAAGCGUUGUCCGGAUUUAUUGGGCGUAAAGAGCGUGUAGGCGGCUUUACAGGUCCGUUGUGAAAACUCGAGGCUCAACCUCGAGACGCCGGUGGAAACCGUAAAGCUAGAGUCCGGAAGAGGCGAGUGGAACUCCUGGUGUAGCGGUGGAAUGCGCAGAUAUCAGGAAGAACACCGACGGCGAAGGCAGCUCGCUGGGACGGUACUGACGCUGAGGCGCGAAAGCGUGGGGAGCGAACAGG
rnacentral:rRNA from 1 species